ensembl:lncRNA
AUGACAAAUGCAACAUCCCCUUUUACAUAUGUGGUUAUUAUUAUCCAACAUCCUCCUCUACAUAUGUGGUUAUUAUUAUCCAACAUCCUCCUCUACAUAUGUGGUUAUUAUUAUCCAACAUCCUCCUCUACAUAUGUGGGUAUCCAACAUCCUCCUCUACAUAUGUGGGUAUCCAACAUCCUCCUCUACAUAUGUGGGUAUUAUUCUACACACGGGCAAUUAGUUAAAUCAGCUCCGCAGCAAAACCACAUUUGGUUCAUCCGAAGCUAAAUCUGCACGAAUGUUUUACAAGUUUGGAUCAAAGCACAGUAGAGUUCAGUAGAGUACAGUACAGAAUAGUUCAGUAGAGUAUAUUUCAGUACAGUAUAGAAGAUUUCAGUACAGUUUAGUAGAUUUCAGUAGAGUAUAGUAGAUUUCAGUAGAGUAUAGUAGAUUGAAGUCCAGUAUAUUAGAGUAUAGUAGAGUUCAGCACAGUAUUGUAGAGUUCGGUAUAGUAGAUUUAAGUAGAGUAUAGUACAUUUCAGUAGAGUACAGUAGAGAAGAGUUCAGUACAGAACAGUAGAGUUCAGUAGAUUUCAGUAGAGUUCAGUAGAGUACAGUAUAGUAGAAUACAGUAUAGUAGAUUUCAAUACAGUACAGUUCAGUAGAGUAUAGCAGAGUUCAGUAGAGUACAGUACAGUAUAGUUCAGUACAGUAUAGUAGAUUUCAGUAGAGUACAGUACAGUUCAGUAGAGUACAGUAGAGAAGAGUUCAGUAGAUUUAAGUAGUGUAUAGUACAUUUCAGUAGAGUUCAGUAGAGUACAGUAUAGUAGAUUUCAGUACAGUACAGUAGACUUCAGUUCGGGUGCAGUUCAGUAGAGUUCAGUACAGUUCAGUACAGUACAGUACAGUACAGUACAGUAGAGUACUGUUCAGUAGAGUUCAGUAGAGUAGAGUACAGUAGAGUAUAGUAGAGUUCAGUAGAGUAGAGUACAGUAGAGUAUAGUAGAGUUCAGUACAGUGCAGUUCAGUAGAGUUCAGUACAGUGCAGUUCAGUAGAGUAGAGUAUACAAGAGAUUAGUAUAGUAACGUUCGGCACAGUAGAGUAUAGUUCAGCACAGUUCAAUAUACUCAAUACUAGUGUGCUCUACUGUGUUCUACACUCCACAGUACAGUAUGGUACUAUACUGAACUACACUCCACAGUACAGUAUGGUACUAUACUGAACUACACUCCACAGUACAGGACUGUAUGGUACUAUACUGAACUACACUCCACAGUACAGUAUGGUACUAUACUGAACUACACUCCACAGUACAGGACUGUAUGGUACUAUACUGAACUACACUCCACAGUACAGUAUGGUACUAUACUGAACUACACUCCACAGUACAGGACUGUAUGGUACUAUACUGAACUACACUCCACAGUACAGUAUGGUACUAUACUGAACUACACUCCACAGGACUGUAUGGUACUAUACUGAACUACACUCCACAGGACUGUAUGGUACUAUACUGAACUACACUCCACAGGACUGUAUGGUACUAUACUGAACUACACUCCACAGUACAGUAUGGUACUAUACUGAACUACACUCCACAGUACAGGACUGUAUGGUACUAUACUGAACUACACUCCACAGUACAGUAUGGUACUAUACUGAACUACACUCCACAGGACUGUAUGGUACUAUACUGAACUACACUCCACAGGACUGUAUGGUACCAUACUAAACUAUACUCCACAGGACUGUAUGACACUAUACUGAACUAUACUAAACAGGACUGUAUGGUACUAUACUGAACUAUACUCCACAGGACUGUAUGGUACCAUACUAAACUAUACUCCACAGGACUGUAUGGUACUAUACUGAACUAUACUAAACAGGACUGUAUGGUACUAUACUGAACUAUACUCCACAGUACAGGACUGUAUGGUAUAAUACUCCACAGGAUUGUAUGGUACUAUACUGAACUAUACCCCACAGUACAGGACUGUAUGGUACUAUACUGAACUAUACCCC